UGUGCCCAAAGCAGCUCGAACGGUAAACAUUUCCCCCAAUUCUCCAAAAACCCUAGACCUUUCACAGUCGAAGAGGAGAGCGAGAGAGAAGGCAGGGGAGAGAGAUGGAUGCAAUACGGAAGCAGCUGGACGUGCUGAUGGGCGCGAACCGGAACGGAGACGUGAAGGAAGUGAAUCGCAAGUAUUACGAUCGCGAGGUGUGCCGCCUUUUCUUGGUUGGCCUCUGCCCUCAUGAACUCUUCCAGUUGACGAAGAUGGAUAUGGGGCCAUGCCCUAAGAUUCACUCUUUGCAGCUCAGGAAAGAGUACGAGGAAGCCAAAGCCAAGGGUCUCGACAACUACGACAGGGAAUUGGAGGAUGUCAUCGACCGGCUUAUCGUCGAGUGCGAUAGGAAAAUCACCAGAGCCCUUAAGCGUCUCGAGGACGAGGAUGCCAAGGCUGCCAUCGCCAUCUCUGUUUCUGAGGUUACCCAGACGCCUGAAGCUAUUGAGUUGUCCAAGCAGAUCAGAGAGAAGUUGAAAGAGGCUGAUCAAUAUGAUCUUGAAGGCAAGACGGAUAUGAAAAUUCGGGCUUUAGAAAUAGUGGAAGAACUCAGAACAAAAAGAGCUGACAAACAGUCAAUGCUACUUCUAGAUGCCUUCAAUAAAGAUCGAGCUUCCUUACCUCAGCCCCUUCCAAAUCCGCCACCAUUGGCACCUUUGCCUGUUGUUGCUCCUGAUGCUCGAACACAAGAAAUGAUAAAUGAAAAACUAAAGAAAGCAGAAGAUCUUGGUGAGCAAGGAAUGGUUGAUGAAGCCCAAAAAGCACUGGAAGAGGCUGAGGCGCUUAAAAAGCUGGCCCCCAGGCCGGAACCUGUUGUAGAUUCAUCCAAGUACACUGCUGCUGAUGUCCGCAUUACUGAUCAGAAGCUUCGUGUUUGUGACAUUUGUGGAGCAUUUUUGAGUGUUUAUGACAGUGACCGUCGUUUAGCAGAUCAUUUUGGAGGAAAGCUUCACUUGGGCUAUAUGCAAAUCCGUGAGAAGUUGGCCGAGCUUCAGGUGCUGGUAUAAAUGUUUCACUUUCUUCUCUAGAGGUUCUCAGUUAAAUAUGCAUCUGUGAGUUUUUCUUAACUUCAGAGGAGUAUUUUUGCUAUUUUAACCAUCUUUAUGUGGAUAUGGAUUUAUAGCGGGGUUCGUCUUAAAGAGAAAGGUGAAGUCUGUUUGGCUGCUAUAUUUGUCUUUUAAUUGACCUUCAAUAUUUUUGACACCAUCAAAUAGUUCAAAAGAACCUGUUAUUUGUAUUGAAUUAUUAGGAAAGGGAAAAGCAUGCUUAAUCUGGUUUGUGUUAAAAGGUUUAUCCACAUGCUUUUGGAAACUAAUUCAAAGUGGGCUUGUAAUGAGCGGACUAGAACAAAUUUGUUCAAGCUUGGUUUUGUAAGUCUUUGUAGCAUGUGUGGCAAAGGUAUGGAGCUUGAGCAGUCUGGUGCUGUGUUUUUUGUGAAUUCAACUUAUUACAUGGCUUUAAAUUUCCUAUGAAAUGCUUUUCUAUAGAUUUGUUAAUGUUCGACAGCUUUUGUCAAAUUUGCUAGAAAAUUUUUCAUUAUAAUAAUGAUGCUCAAUAUUUGUUUCUUUGGAAUGUUCUGAAACUCCACGAGCUUCAUUGACUCGUAAGGGUGGUUUCUAAUCAGACAAUCCAGGAUCCCUCUUCAACCUUGUGUUCUUUACUCUGAAGCAAACAAGCUAAGUUGAAAUAGCCCCAGCUCAAUCAUCUAAUGGGAAAUUGCAGCUUAAGCUCUGAAUUUGCUAAACAUCAAAGCAGUGAUUGGGUCUCAUCCUUCGUUAUUGAGUGAGCUUGAACAAACAUAUGCAUGGCUUGGUUUGCUUACUUUCUACUCUUGAUGUCUCAUGAGCUUUUCAUUAAGAAUGCUGUAAUCAGUUUUGUGUUGUGUGUGAAUUCUCUAAUUGCUGUUAAUUGUUACCUAAUAACUUGUUGACUAGUGUGUGUGUGUGUGUGUGUACGCAUUUGCAUUCACACCUCACAUGUGCAUAUCUCUGCAUGCUUGCAUGUCAGAAAGAAAACAAAAGAACACCAAAUUUAUCUUACUUCUGGUUUGGGCCUUGUUUUGUCAUGCAACUUAUAGAAUUUUCUUAAUGCAGAAAUGUGUUUCAUUGGCUAAUAAAGGUCCAUCGAGACCAUAGUAGCAUGGAAAUUUUAUUCUUGCAUACUGUUUUCUUGGAGUUCAUUUACUUAUUUCAUCCAUAUUCCACAAAUGGAUUUGAUUCAUUUCUCUGUCUACUGAAUUCUCACUUCUAAGGGUGGUAUUGUCCUUUUUUUUUGGAUUUUAAAUGGUCCCGAUUGCGUGCAAUUUAUUAUUUUAUGCUAGUUAAGUGGUAAAUAAAUUCAGUUAUUGUUGAUUUUCUUCCUGAUGUUAAUGCCCCUUCAACAUUUUGCAAUGCAGGUAAUUCUAUUUUACUCACUUUCAUUGUGUUACACUACGUCCUUUCAGCUUAUCAUUUUCUUGUUGUGGCCAUAGAAUUGCUGAAAAGUUGAUAUGGCAACUUGACUAUAACUGUUAAGUGGAAGAAAUCUGCCUUGCACUUGAAUAUGAACACAACUUUGCCGUCAUGGUCUUGUUCGUGUCAUUUUUUAUUUUUUGUUCCGGAAGAUAUUGUGUUUGAACUUGUUAAAGAAGAAAAUGAAUGCAGUUAACUUGUGUGUUUUAUAUGCAUUGUUGGGGUGAUUUUUUGGCUGGAAUUCGACGGACUCAUGUAAGUUGUUCUUAUGGACAUCAAGCUUGUAGCAGCAAAUGGCUAAAAUGCUAGUUUAGUAGCUUCUCUCAGUUAAUAUGUCUAGUUGGUGAAGUGCACACUGUUUCACUGGCUUCUCAAUACCACUUCUUAUAUUAUUUGUCAGGAAGAGAGAAACAAGAAAAGGAAAGCAUAUGAAGAUGAGAGAAGAUAAGAUGGAUGGGACACAAUAGAGGCUCCGAUGAAGAAAGUGGAUGGAAUGGAACAAGUCCUUAGCAGAAAAGGUAGACGAAGAUCAAGAAAAGCUUGGUGGUAUAAUGAGUUAUAAGGGCCUUUAUAGAAUAUAUGACUGAUGAAAAUUAUUGGUGAGGCCAAACUCGCUUAAUGACAAUCAAAAGAGCGAAGCCGGGAGCAUGAUAGGGAGGUAAGCAAGGAUCGGGACCAUGGCGAUAAUCGUGAACGAGGGAGGGAUUAUGAUCGCAGGAGCAGAGAUCGUGAUAAUAGACAUUAUGAUCGUGAUCAUGGAUAUGAUCGAGAGCGGGAAAGAGAAAGAGAUCGGCGUAGCUAUGAUUCAAGGAGUCGCCGGCGGUCGCGAUCACGGUCAAAGGAACGCCA